CAGUCGCCGCGGGAAUACGGAGGGUGCAAGCGUUAAUCGGAAUUACUGGGCGUAAAGCGCACGCAGGCGGUCUGACAAGUCAGAUGUGAAAUCCCCGGGCUUAACCUGGGAACUGCAUUUGAAACUGUUAGGCUGGAGUCUUGUAGAGGGGGGUGGAAUUCCAGGUGUAGCGGUGAAAUGCGUAGAGAUCUGGAGGAAUACCGGUGGCGAAGGCGGCCCCCUGGACAAAGACUGACGCUCAGGUGCGAAAGCGUGGGGAGCAAACAGGAUUAGAUACCCGUGUAGUCCCUGUCUCUUAUAC
rnacentral:rRNA from 1 species